UUUUUUCUUCUUUCCUCCUUCGGUUUAUGCAUUAUUAACACCCGCUUUCCUGUUUUGCUUGUAACAUUUUAUGGGCUUUUUCAAACACGUAGUCAGAUUUGCUCUGUUGCUCCUCUGUUCUUCGGGACUUAACCCCUUCUCUCCUUGAUCUUCAAAAACUUGCGGGGAGGGCUCAAACGCUUCCGACUGCUCCCAUUUAAAAUGUUAAAAACCGGAAAAGGCUUUUUCAAACUAUUCUUUUGAAGAACUCUGCAUUUUUGAAGCAUUCGAGAAAGCGGCACAGAUUGCGCAGCUUCUGGCGUUUCACCCAAGUCAGCACGCGUGAGCCUCGCUACAGCUGCAAAGGGUUCAGACCAAGGAGGGAUUUUGGCUGUGCGCUGUAAUGUCUGUGCCCGUUUUAUCCCCUCUCCGUGGCGUUACCCCAUUCUCUGGGUAUGCAGCGUUUCGUUAGCAGCCUUCCAAAGAGAAGCACCUCGUGGCUGAAGAAAUGGGGACCAGAAAAUCCAGAACAAUUCUGGGGAUGUGUUGUUUACCCCCAUCACCUUCCUCUUUAACACAGAGCUGGCGAAGUGCAUCUAGAUGGGUAGAAAUAUUACAAACACAAGCUGCAGGCUUUGUUUUGCUUUUCCAGAGCUCUAAAAUAUAGCUUUCAUUUUAGUCUCUAGUAGGAGGCAUAUAUCCAAGUGCUGUCAAAUGCUGUGGAUACAGGGAUUCAGUCGUCCCUGCAGACACAGUCCCUGUACAAAACCUUGGAGGCUAACAAGCAAGCCUAGCAUUCAUAAUUCCCCCUAGCACCCUCAUUUCUAGGUUCUGGGUUUGGGAUUGUGAAUUUGUUAUUACAGGGAGAUACUCACCGUCACCUAGAGGACCUUGCUUUGUCCGUCUGAAUCUAGCACAGAACCUGUUUGCCCAAAUACUUCAAAGCACAUCUCAGGGAAAAAAAAAAAAUGUUCCUCAAUUUUUAUUUUAUUUUUUUUCAACAACCUGUAGUGAUGUUGAUAUGAACAACACCUCCAUCUUCAACUGCUUGGCGUUGAGAAGCACUACAUUUGUUUUUUCAUGUAGCUCUUUUGUGUGAAGCCAACAUGCGCCCUCAGCGCUGGUUGGAACAACUCAAGUAAAAUCCAUUCCCUACAUCAGGGAGGCCCUGGGAUAGAUGGACGAUGGAGAGUCGCCCUAGCUCCUUGGCCACCUGAGACUAGCACAAAGCCCAUCUCUACUCUUGGCCAGCAGCAGCUGUGGGCUGUGUCGCAGCCUAGCCUGGAGUCAGUGUUUUGUAGUGUUGUAGAACAUGGCAAUAACAUGUUUUUAAAAGAUGUUUUUGUACUGUAUACUUUUUAAAGAAUGGUUUAUCUGCUUUGUAUGGAUAUUGUAUUGUACAGCUGAAUAUAUUAAAUAGGAUGGACUGGAGGUUUACUCUCAUCUCCUGGCGAUGAGGAUAUGAAUUUCAUCCUUUGAGUUGCAUUCCCCUUGAAUGUGCAAAUUUUGGGAAAAUUAGAGAAAACAGUUUACAUUCCAUUAAUAAGAAAUUACUAAUUGCUUAUAAAACAGGCAUAUCUUUAUCUGCACAGAGCUUUUCAAAGUUGCUGCUUAAUCUUUUUUCUUUUUUAAUCACUAAACAAACAUGUCUCAGCAGUCGCUGCGUGUGAAACCAAAACCUGGACGUGGACAAAAAGCAAACAUACCACACUAAUUUUCAUUAGCAUAUCCUGUCUCCUAGAACAUUUAUUUUUUCAUCUCCUUGUAAAUUGAUUUUUCACAUGCUUGUGACUUAUAUUUGAACUGUGUGUUUGUAGUAACUGACUUCUAUAAAAGCUAGGUCCUGGAUCUCCCAACAUGAAUAUAUUAUGGAGGUGACCUAGUGGGCCUAUAGUUAAGGUUGCAUGGAGUUUUCACUUAAAACAAUGUUUAAAUCCCUUAAUUAAACAUUAAAACUCGCACAAAUUCUCAAACAUGGACUGUUUCAAUAAAGAGGAUAAACUUUAAUUAUUUAGGUACUCAAUGUUCGUCUUAGUGCUGUAUUUGCAGAAUUCAGAACAACUUAAAAUUAUCCUUCCUCAGAUUUUUCCAGAGUUCCUAGUCUUCUCUGUUUCUCCAUUUUCUUAAAUCUUUUGGCUAAGCAUUUCAUUGAUGAAAUUCUUCAUAUCUUUGCUGACUUCAUAGAACCAUGAAAAUUUAAAUAAGAUAUUUUAACAAAAAGCACUUUGGCUUUAUUUAUAAUAAUGCACAAUACAGAAGAGCAUGUAGAAGAUACAAGUUGAGAACAGUAUACUGGUUGUUUGUAGCUGAUACUUAGUCCUUGACACCAGUGAUUUGGAAUCAAAAGAACAGACUGGAGAGCCUGUUAAAAAGAGAAAUACCACAUGGAAGCAAAAUCCAGAUCUGUGCCUAAAAACUAGUAGCAUCUUUUCUGUACAGAGGAUUGUUUCCAAGUCAGUCAAUUAACACCAACUGCAGUAGUCCCAAACUGGUGUAAACUCCCCUUUGCUUUCCUCUAUCUACUUAUGCCUUGAGGGCCCAGUUCAAACUUUGCUGAAACCAGUCUUUCACUGAUUUCCGUAAGUUUUGGAUUAGGCCAAUUAAUUCUUAUGUUCAUUCUGUCCAGUUGUCACCCUGCUCCUCUGCAUUAACAGAUGUUUUGAGCCUUUUUCUUUGGACAGGGUCUGUAAACCUACCGUUUCCAUCUGUGCCUGCUGUACCUGUAGUGAUCAGCGAGCACGGUUCCCAUUGUUAACACUUCGAGCCUUCUGGCUGAGCUAUAAUCACAUUCUUCAGCCUAGGCUGAAGUCCUGCUGAAAAUUGUGUAUUUGCAAACCAUUCAUAAAUGAAGAAUUCCUUUAGAACCCAGUGUUACACGUGUAAGUAGUGUCUGUAUCCAGACUCCUUAGCCUCCAGCAAUUCCUCCAACUAGCUGGAAAUACAGACAAAAUGGCCAGGAAAAAAAAAAUUCCUCAGUAGCUUACAGUGUGUGGAAAAUUUUUCAUUUAAGUCUUUUGGGCUAGGAUGUGUUUUCCCAUCAUUUCCAGCUGACUGCCACUGCGGUCACGUAUGCUUGUUAGUUCAUGUCUCCUGUCCAUUGAAACACUGCAGCAAGUACAGUCUGCAAAAAUGCUUACAUGAGAAAAUGUUGUUUCAGAGUAUGCUAGUUCUGGAAUUUUGGAAAAUGCAAGUGCUAUAGGCUGUGAUUUCACACUAAUACCAUACAAAUUAAAAGUUACUUAUUAAUUUGAAGAAUUGCUUAUUACUCCAGGCAUUGGAUGAGGAGAGAAAUUCACAGGAAGUUCUUAUCUCCAUCGUAUGAGUAGGUUCUCAAGCCCUUCCAGAGUAGGGAUUGAAAUGUUGGAAGUGAAAAGAGCUGCCCGUUGCAAGGUUCACGUGGAGAAAAGCAAGUGAAACAAGCCGCUGGGCCUGAAAUGUUCCUUUGUUGGUGAUGUUCCUGCUUUUAACUAACUCUUCUGUGUGUGAGCAGACUGAAACAACACGUGGUGGGGAAGAAUACAGGAGGGCACCUGGGAGUGGAAUAAUGCAGAGUCAAAUGUUUAUGGGUUAGGAUCUUUGGCAGUAUUACCAUUCUUAUUUUUUAUUUAUUGGGGGGGGGGGGGGGGGGGGGGGCUGUUAGGCUGUGCAAAUUAUCUCAAAUUCUCUUCAUUCUUUUUGGGGGUGGCUGUGUUUGAAAAAUAGGUCCAAGCACACUGUAUACAUUGUGGCAGUAAGGGGUUAAAGAGAUGUAAUUAUGCAUUCUUCAGUAAGUGCUCUGCAGUCAGCAGUACAGCAAGGAUUUUAUAGAAGCUUAAAAAAAAAAAAAAAAAGAAAAGAGAUGACGGAGGGAGAAUAUGGAGAGAAGGUCAGAUCCAAGGAUUCUCCUAGGGUUUUCUCAUGUUUGCUCUUCCUUUGUGGCUCAUUAUGCUCUCUCCUGGUAGAAACAGAAGAAAGCAUUAUGGCCUGUUGGUUCCUCCUACUGAUAAUGUACAUUUGAUCUUUUUGCUUUGUGGUAGUGGUAGAGGUAAAUUUAUGGAUUUAGUUCCUGAAGGAGUUCUGAGCCAUCCUAGUGCCUACCAUGGUCCUUGUAUAUUCCCCAGCUCUUUUUUAUUACAAGAAGUGCAUUGCAGCCCUGUGAACACCGAACAUUUCAACAAACACCCUUUCUCAGCUGCAGUUUACCUAUUUUGUUUGAGAGGAUUUGAAUUUUCAGCAAACCCAUCUACUGGGAAUAGUUUGUUUUGGGCUGUUUGGGCUUGAUCCUCGGCUGGAUGUGUGGAAGUUUUUGCACGCAGUAUUUCAGACCGACCUGGCUGGUAAAGGUUGUGGGUUGUUCUGGAACGGUUGCAGUAGCAAAGCAGAACAGCACUCAAAAUGGGCAGGACGCUCGGGACGCGGGUUAUCCCGCACUUCCAUCCUGGGAGCUAGCCCGAGCUCUGACUUGCUGAGUCAUUCAGUGUACCAGAUCCUUCUUUUUUAUUGAACUAAUUUGAUUUGCAGUUGGAUUUCAACAUAACAGCAAAGCCUUUCUGGGAGAUAUUUGUGUGUUCAGUAACACAGUAGUCUGAAAAACGUUUUUUUUUGCUUUCUCUCUCAUGUGAUAGAAAUUUUUUUUUCUUUUUUUUUUUUUUUUUUUUUCUUGCGUACUUUCUCUGUUUAAUUUUUAUGGGAAAGAACUGCAAACAAUUAAGUGAGUAGGAUUUCCCUUGCCUCAUUCUUUCCUGGA